rnacentral:rRNA from 1 species
AUGGCCGACAGCGACGCCCAGGAGAGCUGCUGGCCGCCCGGGACCGCCGCCGCCUCUAGCCACGGCGGCGGUGACGGGGCACGGCUGUCCGGCGUGAGUAGGGAGAUCUACGACCGCCUGCGGGCCGCCGGCAACCAGGAGGCGCUCUCCGACCCCUUCUUCGACCGCGUCCUCGAGGACCACUACGAGCGCCUCCCGGCCAGCUACUACGUCGACCUCGACGUGAACAAGGCCGAGGACGUGCUGCUGCACCGCCGGAUCCUCGCCGAGUGCGCCGACCCCGACAACCGCCCCGUCUUCCACGCCCGAUUCCUACGGUACCUUCAUGAGGACAAACUGCAGGAUGCUGAGUCUGCUCCGAAUGAAAACGAUGGAUUGUGUUUGGGCAUAUUUGUUGUUGAUGGCUGGGAAACAGAGGAGACAGAUGGUUUGCUGCAGCAGCUCAAGGAGACAGCAAAACGUAAUCCCUCAUUAUCUAAUCUAACAAGUUCAGCCUCGGAGAGAAUAUCAGAGCUGCAAGAAAAGAUUGGAGAAUCUGAAUUUGACAGGGAUCUGUUGCAGAUUGAAGAAAAGAUUGCGUCCGGCUCUUCUGGAGACUUAUAUCGAGGAACUUACCUUGGUGUGGAUGUUGCAAUAAAGUACCUUAGAACUGGACAUGCUAAUGAUGAUUCAAAAGUGGAGUUUUUGCAACAAAUAAUGAUUUUAAGGAGUGUUAAUCAUGAAAAUGUCAUUCGCUUUUAUGGGGCAUGCACAAAGCAUCGAAAGUAUCUCACUGUAACAGAGUACAUGGCUGGAGGUAAUCUGUAUGACUUCCUUCACAAGCAAACGAAUACCUUGAAGCUUUCGUUGGUUCUUAGGAUUGCUAUUGGCAUCUCGAAAGGGAUGGAUUAUUUGCACCAGAAUAACAUCAUCCAUAUAGAUUUGAAGUCUGCCAAUUUAUUACUUGGUGAUGGUCAAGUCGUGAAGAUUGCAGAUUUUGGUGUCUCGCAAGAGGGAGACAUGACUUCUGAAAAUUGCACCUAUAGAUGGAUGGCACCUGAGGUGAUAAACCAUAAGUCUUAUGAUCACAAGGCAGAUGUCUUCAGCUUUGCUAUUGUUCUAUGGGAGUUGGUCACUUCAAAGGUACCAUAUGAAAACCUGACACCAUUGCAAGCGGCACUAUCAGUAAGGCAGGUAUGGCAUUCGAGGGAAAUGAAGUUGAAUUACAGUUUGGGUAUUGGGCAUCAGCUGUCGAUAAUGGACGUGCAAGUAUGA